UUUGAUCCUGGCUCAGAACGAACGCUGGCGGCGUGGAUAAGACAUGCAAGUCGAACGAUUAUCAUCGGGUAGCAAUAUUCGGUGGUGAGAGUGGCGCAAGGGUGCGUAACACGUGGGUAAUUUGCCGUGAAGUCUGGGAUAACUUGCUGAAAGGCGAGCUAAUACCGGAUGUGACUUUUGGAAGGCAUCUUCUGAAAUUCAAAGUCGGGGACCGUAAGGCCUGACGCUUCUCGAUAAGCCCGCGGCCUAUCAGCUAGUUGGUGAGGUAACGGCUCACCAAGGCUAAGACGGGUAGCUGGUCUGAGAGGACGACCAGCCACACUGGAACUGAGACACGGUCCAGACACCUACGGGUGGCAGCAGUCGAGAAUUUUUCUCAAUGGGCGAAAGCCUGAAGGAGCGACGCCGCGUGGGGGAUGAAUGGCUUCGGCCCGUAAACCCCUGUCAUUUGCGAUCAAACCUUACGACCUAACACGUCGUGAGCUGAUAGUAGCGGAAGAGGAAGGGACGGCUAACUCUGUGCCAGCAGCCGCGGUAAUACAGAGGUCCCAAGCGUUGUUCGGAUUCACUGGGCGUAAAGGGUGCGUAGGCGGUCGGGUAAGUCUGAUGUGAAAUCUCCAAGCUUAACUUGGAAAUGGCAUCGGAUACUAUUCGGCUCGAGGAAUG
rnacentral:rRNA from 1 species